UGAAUGAAUGAAUGAAUGAAGGUGUAUACCCGAGCCCAUAUUCCUACAAUCCCUGCUUUUCUGUCGCAGUGGGUGACCAGCCGCGUCAGGCAUUGCAGACGAUCCCUUGGCUCCCAGGUUGGGGGCGCCCAAGCGCGGAGCCGACAGGCACUUGAGCGACGCUCCCCGAAAGCCAGGGCGGUGGCCGCGCCAGGAGAGGGGCUGUCGCCUUUUGGCGACGUUCCCGGCGGGCCACCGCGCCGCCGCCGGGGCCAAAGAGGGGGUCGGGCGGUGAGCGCGCGCGCUGAUCUUUUGCGACGGUGCCCUGCGGCACUGGCCCCGCCCCCUCCCCGCCCCCGAGGCCCGCCCUGCCCCGCCCCCGCCGCUGCGCUCGCUCGGGGCCGCUCAGGCCCCCGCCCGCUUCAUGUGGCCGGGCCCGCGGCGGCCGGCGGCGAGGAGCGGCGAGGCGGCGGAGAGCGGCGGCCGGCGAGGCCCGGGAGGUGGUGGCCGAGGCCCAGGAGGCGGCGGCGGCGGCCCAGGAGGCGGCGGACGGGGAGCGGCGGGAGCAGGCCCGGCCCGGCCCUUGAGCGGCCGCCCGGCUGCAGCAUGCGCGUCCGCCGGGGGCUGCUGCGGCUGCCGCGCCGCUCGCUGCUCGCCGCUCUCUUCUUCUUUUCGCUCUCGUCCUCGCUGCUCUACUUCGUCUAUGUGGCUCCCGGCAUAGUGAACACCUACCUCUUCAUGAUGCAAGCUCAAGGCAUUCUGAUCCGGGACAACAUGAGGACAAUCGGCGCUCAGGUUUACGAGCAGGUGGUUCGGAGUGCUUACGCCAAGAGGAACAGCAGCGUGAACGACUCAGACUAUCCUCUUGACUUGAACCACAGCGAAACCUUCCUACAAACCACAACUUUUCUUCCUGAAGACUUCACCUACUUUGCAAACCACACCUGCCCCGAAAGGCUCCCUUCCAUGAAGGGCCCAAUAGACAUAAACAUGAGUGAAAUUGGAAUGGAUACCAUCCAUGAACUCUUCUCUAAAGACCCAGCCAUCAAGCUUGGAGGUCACUGGAAGCCAUCGGAUUGCGUGCCUCGGUGGAAGGUAGGGGUGAGGUCAGACCGCAGGUACUGGGAAGCCUACCUGGGACUUGGUGUCUUUGGAAUCCCCAAGGGUUUCACACUGACAUUUUGUAAUUUGCACCGUCCUUGCUACUUAAUGCAAAAUUGUUGCAUCUGUCGGGAACAUAUUGGAGGAAUGGGUUUCCCUAAGGGCUCUUGUGUAGCCACAGAAAGUCUUUGUUCUGGUGACCCAGCCGGACCCUUAUCUUCCUCACAGAGAUAUUGGCUGAGUGGGGGAGUUGGCAGUGGUAGGUCUCCUAUGAGGCAAUUGCAGAAGCUGCCCCACAAAUUCGGUACUUCAUGCCUUAUUUGGCAAUCCUGCUGUGAGUUUAGUGGAAUAAAAAGCCGAGUUGUCCAGCCCGACACUGAGAACUGUUUAGUUUCGCCCUGUGUGACUGUCGUCAGGAGACGUCAGGAGUGUGGCUCGAUCAAGCCUGUGACACCAGCCGAAGUCCCUUCUUUUCAGCGAGUCUUUAUUGAAGUACUUGGUCUGUGCCAGCCCUGUGAGAAGUUGUGGUGCAGCAAUGAUCAAAGCAUGUCUGGGACAGGUGGCAAUCCUUAUCCCCUUCCGGAACCGCCACGAGCACCUCCCGGUCCUGCUCCGACACCUGAUUCCCAUGCUCCAGCGCCAGCGCCUGCAGUUUGCAUUUUAUGUGGUGGAGCAAGUUGGCACCCAACCCUUUAAUCGAGCCAUGCUUUUUAAUGUGGGUUUUCAAGAAGCAAUGAAGGACUUGGACUGGGACUGUCUUGUUUUUCACGAUGUGGAUCAUAUACCAGAAAACGAUCGUAACUAUUAUGGAUGUGGACAGAUGCCAAGGCACUUUGCAACUAAACUGGAUAAGUAUAUGUAUCUGCUUCCUUAUAAUGAGUUCUUUGGCGGAGUGAGCGGCUUAACAGUGGAACAGUUUCGGAAAAUCAAUGGCUUUCCUAAUGCCUUCUGGGGUUGGGGUGGAGAAGAUGACGACCUGUGGAACAGAGUACAGAAUGCAGGCUAUUCUGUGAGUCGGCCAGAAGGUGACACCGGGAAGUACAAGUCCAUUCCUUAUCACCAUCGAGGAGAAGUCCAGUUUCUUGGAAGGUAUGCCCUGCUGAGGAAGUCCAAAGAACGGCAAGGGCUGGACGGCCUCAACAACUUGAACUACUUUGCGAACAUCACAUACGACGCCUUGUAUAAGAACAUUACUGUCAACUUGACACCCGAGCUGGCUCAGGUGACCGAGUACUGAGACGACGAGAGAAUAUGUGUUUGCUUCACCCGCCACCACCAAGAAAGCAGCCUGACGACAUGUCUCGGGGCUCCACAGAGGAAGAGAACAGAAAUCCAGCAUCCAAUGAAGGAUCACAGGGUUCAAGGGAAAAAUGUGAACACAGAGCACACGCACAAAACGCCUUCACCGUUUGGACCCGACCCCCCGGGUGGAGAGGGUCAGCCCGGGAACUGACUUUCUCUUUUCACCAGACAGACGUCUGUCCUGCUGCUCUUCUCCCCCUACCCCCGCCAUCGCCUGCCCCGACGAACCGUCUCAGCCACAGUCUUCAGAACCAGAACUGUGAUCCGCCACCGUCCCGCUGCCGGCCUCUUCCUGCGAAUGGCCUUUGGAGCUUCUUGGCCCUCAGAGCAAAGAGGCAGACCCACCACUGGGCAGCUGUUUUAGGAAGAGCAAGUGAAACUCCACACGCCAUUCUCCUACAUCUCUGGUGUUCUCUUUGGUUUCAUUUUUUACAAAAAAAAAAAAAAAAAAAAAAAUUGACCUGCUUUGGGUGGGGAUUGGGGGUGGAGGGGAGGGAUCUGGGAAGAUAAAUAGACAUAUAACAAUCACUUCUUGAAGAAGUAUAACUGUAAAUAAGCCAUGUAAAAUGCCUUUUUAAAAUUUAAUUUUCUAGCUGGCUCGAAUUCAAACCGAGGAUUUACACAUUAGAUCCCGUGUUUGUUUGGCAGAUGCAGGAACUCAGCUAAAAUGGAAUAACAUCAUCUCCCAAAAUUGCUGUCACUUUGGAAGGGAGUGGAUAUAGGGCAUGUCACAAAAAAACAACAAAACAGUCCGGUCUUUAUCACCGGUAUCUCCCGCCCCCUCCCAUCCCCCAUCCAAAAGUCCUGCUCUUCACUUUGGCUCCGGAUUCUCCCUCCCAUGCCGAGCAGGCACACUCUAGCCCCAGUCGUUUGCUGAGCAGGGGGCCGCGUGCUAGAACACUGCUCUCCUGCUCCAAGCAAACCCUUCAGGUGGGCCCGCUCUACACGCACCCCAGAGCUCUGGAUUGUGUGUCUUGUCCUUUGAUCAUCAUGAAGGGAGAGUGUGGUUGUUGGCUUUUCCUACUUCUAUCUCUCCCUCGCUCGCUCGCUCUUGGGGAACAUGGCCACAAUUUCUGAAAUCUGUGCCUAAACUACCAGCUAGCUUCAGUGAUUCCUCUGAACAUUUCUCUUACCGGUUUCUGGAAAGAUUCUUUGUGAACGUUAUUAACUAGAACAUAGAAUAACAAGCAACCAGAUUAUGAAGAAUUCAUCCGGGGAGCAGGUGACACUUGUGGGCUGUAGAUCAGCCAGGAUCCCGUUUUGGUCAAAUCAAAGCUUUGGAAUUAGACUAAGCCGCCGGACGGACACAAGAAAGAGCCCAGGUGCUCUGUUCACACCCCCAUGUGCUUUUUGAAGUCAGAUUCUAAAUUGCAUUGAAUGCGUGCCUCUCUUUUCCCCUGAGCCAAACCCCUCGCCUCAGAGUCCCCUUUGACCUCUGCAAAAUUCUGGAAAAUAUCAGUUCUUACCCCCUCUCCUUUUCCAUAAAACAUAUUUAUAUAUCAUUAUGAGGAGUACUUUCUGAAGAGUACUUCAUAUUUUUUUUAAUUGCCUUGUUUGCCUUCAACUUCCUUAAUUUUCAUGGUUUACAUGGAUGCGUGUGUAGGGGCGACAUUUGUGUAUAUACACAUGGGUUAGGGUUUUUUCUGUUGCCUGUGUUGGUUCCAUGGACAUAUGAUCCCCACAAGCUGUGGGAGUGAUAGGCCAGGCCUUGUGUUCUGUUGUGUAUUUUUUUCUUUUGAAGAGUAAAGUGCUAUUUAGAAAAUAAAUUGCAUUGUGAAGCUCUUACCGGCUCAUAUGAGAGAGCAGGUAUCCUGCCCUUGAACACGCUGGUAAGUUGUAUCAUAAUGUUUUCAGAGUUUUGAGCAUUUCCUGCUUUAAAAGACCUUCACGAGGGAACAUGACACAGAGAAGUUCUUCUGGCUUUCCUUUGGCACAGGGUGCAUAGAGCAAUAAAGAUUUCUUUCCCCCCUUCCUCCAGACACCUCUCGGCCUCUGUGCUGGCACUGCCACUUCUCUCUCCGAGGGCUGUGAGCUGCCUUGAGUUUGAUGAGAUUACGAUGCCCUCUGGAAGGGUUUGCCAGGUCAGACUGAUCCUUGGUCAAGGAUGGCGCGUGUACCCUCGGCAGCGUUGUGAAAAGUGAUUCCAUUGGAAGCCUGUCGUUAACAUAUUUGCCACCAAGAACAAAAUGUUGGCCAAAGGCUAACACGCGAUUUCAAAAAGAAAAUGCUGAUCUGAGGACAAAAGGAAAAGUCUCCUUCCACUGUUCCAAGUAGCGUCAUCUUGCCAUCAUGUGGGAAGUUGUUCGAUCGUGUGAAAUCUCUCACUGUGCACUGUGAGUCGUGUAUCCACAGAGCUGAGGAGUAUCACGUGGGGAAACGUAAAAGUUAAAAACAACAGCCAGGCCCGUGUGCUGUUAGUAGUGUGAAAUUCUCAUGUUUUUUUUAAAAAAAAAAAAAACCAAUAAGAACCAAAUGUGACCUUGUCCUUUUGGCAGCUGAAAUUCUUUAAGGCUACCGAUGGAUGACCCCUUAAAUCAGUCUCUCUUGAUUUUCUGUGCCAGGAAGAGUUUUCCUUGCACACCGUGUUUGGUUUUUUGUUUGGGGCGGGCGGGGGGUGGGGUUGGCUGCAAAACUAUUCCUUUUGACAUUACAGGGACUUGUGAGAGCUCCUCUACACAGACAUGAAUAGCCAAGCAAGAGCCACACGUACUGAUUGUAUCCACUCACCAUCGACGAUGGCAUUGAACGUAGCUAGCUUAUUUCCAUCACUACAGUUUUUUGAGCUUGCUGUUAUGUUUUAAGAGGUGCCAGGGGUACAUUUUUGCACUGAAAUCUAAAGAUGUUUUAAAAAACACUUUUCACAAGAAAUAGUCCUUUGUCAUUACAUUAUUUACUCAUGUGUUUGUACAUUUUUGUAUGUUAAUUUAUGAAUGAUUUUUUCAGUAAAAAAUACAUAUUCAAGAACCAAA